CUAGUGAUUGGCGGACGGGUGAGUAAUAUAUAGGUAAUGUGCCCUAGAGAAGAGGAUAACAGUUGGAAACGACUGCUAAUACUCUAUAUGCCUUUAAGACAAAAGUCUGCAAGGGAAAUAUUUAUAGCUCUAGGAUCGGCCUGUACGGUAUCAGCUAGUUGGUGAGGUAAUGGCUCACCAAGGCAAUGACGCCUAACUGGUUUGAGAGGAUGAUCAGUCACACUGGAACUGAGACACGGUCCAGACUCCUACGGGAGGCAGCAGUGGGGAAUAUUGCACAAUGGGGGAAACCCUGAUGCAGCAACGCCGCGUGGAGGAUGACACAUUUCGGUGCGUAAACUCCUUUUAUAUAGGAAGAUAAUGACGGUACUAUAUGAAUAAGCGCCGGCUAACUCCGUGCCAGCAGCCGCGGUAAUACGGAGGGCGCAAGCGUUACUCGGAAUCACUGGGCGUAAAGAGCGUGUAGGCGGGUUAAUAAGUUUGAAGUGAAAUCCUAUGGCUCAACCAUAGAACUGCUUUGAAAACUGUUAACCUAGAAUAUGGGAGAGGUAGAUGGAAUUUCUGGUGUAGGGGUAAAAUCCGUAGAGAUCAGAAGGAAUACCGAUUGCGAAGGCGAUCUACUGGAACAUUAUUGACGCUGAGACGCGAAAGCGUGGGGAGCAAACAGGAUUAGAUACCCUGGUAGUCCACGCCCUAAACGAUGUACACUAGUUGUUGUGAGGCUAGACCUUGCAGUAAUGCAGUAAACACAUU
rnacentral:rRNA from 1 species